GCUCCUGGAAUGGGAAUUUGUCCCCGGUGGGGCUGGCACAGGCUCAGCUGGACGGCCGGUCCCUCCACGUUCACUGACUGUGAAUCCUCUUCAACCCUGCACGUGCCCUUGCUGUGUUUGCCUUCAGCUCUGCUUUACUUGGCUGAGUUGGCAGGUGCGUGCCACCAGUGCAAAGGAGGUGCAGUUAACGUGCAAUUAAUAUACACUAGGAGCAUGCUAAUGUAUUUUCUGUUGCAGAUAAAUAAUUUAACAUAUCGGUAAAGUUUAUGUUUAUUGAUAAUUUCAGCUGCUUAUCUAAGAAAUCCUUACUUAAAGAUGUUUUAUGGCUUUUAACAAGCAACAGAUACAUUAGACAAAUUUUAGAAGUCCUUUAAGGUGAGGUGGAGUGUGUACACAGGCCACGAGGAGUGAUCUGGCCCUUUGAUAAAGGGUGCACUUGUCAAACCCAGUAGGUUUCUUUUAUAUGUUCUCCAAGUGAAGUGUUGACACAACAGUGUGGGAACGGUGCACAGUCAGCAUCACCACGACACUGGGUCUUUUCAUGCUGUGAUGGAAGAUUUUACCAUGAGAUGGUCUUUACUCAUCGUCUAAGCAUUAUUCUAGUAGUGUAGAUGAGGAAAUGGUGGAUUCCCAGCUGAUUUCCAUUUUUGUGAGUGUUCCAAGAGAUGUUCUUGAACUGUCAUCGUAACGUUCCUGCCAUCCUCUCCAUUGUAUCCAAACUAAUCUUUUUCCUGUCUUUCAAAUCUUUUUGCUGAUUACCAAGUCUGGAUUAGGCAAACAUGUCUGCUGUCUGUCGGCACAUCUACUGAAGAUCUUUGCCAUGAUCACUUUUUUGUUAGUUACACAAAUUUGGUUAUUUAAAAAUCUCACAACUCUACUGCAAAGAUAACUGACAAAAAAUUAGCAGAUGGGAAUGUAAUUGUUGUUGUGAGGAAGCUUUGCUUUCUCUCAACUAUAGCUAUGUUGUCCCCAUUGUACAGAUGAGAAAGAUGAUACACAGAACAAAAUUAAUCUCUGAUUUAAUCCUUUUGCCUUCAGGAACAAUGAAAGCCCACUGAUGAUACAGUAUGCUGCUGCUUAUUACUAGUUUAAUUUCAGUGAACUAGAAAUAGAAACCUGGGGUGUUACAGCGUGUAAUGAUUAAGUUACAUUAGCAGAAGGUGAUGAGCAAACAGGCAAGGACCUGAAGACAUAAAACCAGUGCUGUUAAUCACUUCCAGAGACACUAAAAUCAGAAUAUUAAAGCUGAAAUAACAUUUAUAAUUUUUUAAAGGUCAGUGCUUAAGGUGAUAUGAGGGCACUCUGGCAGCAGGACUACCAGCCAUAGGCAUGAGUGUAGAGCAUCCCAUAAGGAGGAAGUACAGAGGGUUUCAUCUCAUAGCAAUUGGAAGGUUCAUAGAGGAGACACAACUCCAUAUUCUUGAGGCCUUUCUGAAGUAGGAAAAUGAAUAACACUUUCCUUUUACAGAAAUAGAGGCCCCUUUUGCUGUCCUUCCCUCUGAAUGCAAGCUCCCCCCAUGUGGUCCCUAAUGGGUGACUGAAUUAUGGCUGACAGGGUUAUAUGUGGCUCUAACAGUAACCUCCACUCUCACAGUUUAAUAUCUUCUUUUUGUUUUGUUUAAGGAACUGAAUGUGCAUUUGAAAGCAAUUUACAUUAAUACAGUAUGUCUUCAGGCAAACAUCAUUCCCUGUUGUUGAGCUUUUAAACAGCCCAGCUAUUGUUUGAAGUUAGCCACAGAAACAGCUGGGCUCUGUCUGGCGUUGGGGGGUGUGAGUGUUACAAAAUGGUAAAGCGUUUUUGGACAGUUUUGGUUCAAUCUGUUUUCACUUUGAAUUGACACUUGACAAUGAAAGUUUAGUUUCUUUCUCCUUUAGUAGUUGACUGAGUUACCUCUGUAAAUUAUUUUGUUUAUUUUUAGCUUUGGAGGUUUUUUUCCCAGAUUGUCUGUUGUUGGUUUUAUCCCUGCUCUGUCCGCAUCACAACAUUUGCAGCUAAUGGGAGGAAUGCCAAGGAGUGACAUUGCUGAUUGCUUUGAUAAGGAAGAGCCCUGCUUUUAUUACCAACUGAUUAAAUGUGCCGAAGGAAUGCAGGAGUGUGUGGAGGUGCUGCUGGCUUCAUCCUGCCAGGGGAGCAGCCCAGGAGGGACCUGCUGUUCCUGCCGGGCUCCCCUCGCCUGGCAGAUGCAGGCUGGCUGCAGGAGGUCAGUGUGGGCAGCCAGCCUGCCCUAAUGUGGGGUUUUCUCUUUCUCAGGAGCAGCUGAUUGAGUCGAAACAAUACUCUGCUUUCCCCAUUUGGUGAUGAAGACUGACAGUUUGUAGGAGAUGAGUCAAAGGUCACUGAUGAGAAGAUCCAUCCAGAUAAUUGCUGUAAUUGCACCCUGAGGAUGCAGCUCCCGUCACAAAGCAUCAGGCAGUGACUCUGUUGUAGAGGCCCAAGGAAUUGGAAGCAAAAUGUUUGUUUUUGAAAGAAGUUACAGAGUUACAGUGUUCGUUUUCUGUCAAAACUACAUAAAGGAUUAUGAUUCCCCAGCCAUUAGUGAGGAGUUUUAGAAGCAAGAAAGAAUGCUGGAAGAAUGAAGUGUGGUGAAAGCAACAGCGUCACAAGUCUGGAAGGUGAUGCUGUUUUCUGGAUAGCUCUGCUGAAGAGGAGAUGUUCAGAAUAAAGUGCAAGAUGGGGAUGAUGAAGAUUCUAUGACAACAGUGAGUGGACAAGGAUGGAGGUCCUCUUGAAACUUUUCCUUUGGAGGUCCCUGUAAGUUAUGUCAGAGGCCAGUGAUAUCCAUUUGCUGAUGUUUCUCUGCCAUAUCAAUAAUUUGCAAUAACAUCCCAAAUGUAUAAAGUGUUUUUAAUUGGUCUUCUGUAAAAGAAAUUGAUUCUGGGGAGAAUAAUAAGGUGUCUUUAUAUAUCCCUUACUUCCAGAAUGAAGUUUACAAUUAAAAUUCCCCAAAAGGUUGCUGUUUGAGGAUUGCAUAAAAAGUGCAGAGUUGGGCUGGGAUUAAAGGAUCAAUCCUGCAAACUGUUGAAAUGGAACUGAUUCUAUUUAUGAGAGCUGCAGUGGGAAAAAUUCCCACUGUGAUUUGACUGUGGUCUGAUUCUCAUUUAUACUGACUCUCUUACAUCCUGUUAGAAGUGGGUAGGAUUCAGGCUUGAAAGAGGAUGACCAUAUGAGAAAUGGUUUUUGGGUAUGUGGAAACAAGACAGAUUCCAUUAAGGCAUUUUCUUACCUUCAUCUAAAUCUGAAAAUAAUCAUAAAUUGGUGAUGGUACCUUAAUUACCUUGAAUAAUUAUUCAUAUUGCUUUGUGUGAGUGAGUAUUUGUUUGGGGAAGAAGUCUUGUGAAAGUGAAAUUAAUUCAGUGUCUCAGAUAAAGAAGGAUGUUUGUUAGAAAUUGUUGUCAUAAUAGUUAUACAAAAGGAUUCAAAUAUUCUCUACCUUAGUAUGAAUAAAACAUUAAAAUAUACAGGUGUAGUUCAUGAACCAUCAAAGAGUUUUCCACUGCCACUGUGUUUUAUUAAAAUGAAAAGAAGAAGAGAAAAAAAAAACCAAAGCCCUGUGCUAAUCCUUUCCUUUGUUGCUUAGGGGACGUUUCAGUAUAAAGUAGCAAUUUCCAUAUCAUUUGAAUAGCAGUUGCAACCCAUUGAUGUUUAAAGUAAAAUGUGCAACUACUGUAAUCAGCAAAACAGAUGCAAAUGUGUUGUCUGUCUCCCAAGUGUAGCUCCCUGCUUGCUGCCUCUGUUAGAUUUAGAGUGGAAAACAUGAUCAGAUAAUGAAAAACAUGGAAGCUGUUCUUUCAUUCUCUUUCCCAGCAGUAGUUUGUUCAACAGCAAAGUUGACUGGAUGAAGCACUGAGUGAGGGUCCUGCAACAGCACCCCCAGCCCUCCCCUCCGGAGCUGCAGGAGAUGCCACAGGUGCUUUGGAGGUGGGAAAGGGACCCGCCACCCUCUUCACUAGCCCUGUCCCUGCCCCUGGGGACAGGAAUGGCCUUUUGGUUCUGUUUAUGUCCAGUUGCAUCCCAGUGUAAGUCUCUGCACACUUUUGCCUUCCUGGAGGGUGCUGUGUUUAUAGCAUUUACUUUAAGUGUGAGAACUUUAUGUCAGAUCAAACCAUUAGCAACUCUCCGGGCAGCAAAUGGCAAAACACAGCUCGGGGCCCCUCUGGAGAAAUGCAGUUUCCACACUUCCACAUUUCACCACAGGAUGCAAGAGAUGGAGAAGUCAGAGAGGAGAGAGGCAGAUAACUCAGCACUGAGGGGAGCAGCUGAGCCCUCCCAGGGUGGCUGUUGGGCGGUCCUGGGAAUGCCGUGCUGGGCUCUUGCAGCAUCCCUGGCCACCCCAGCAACAAUGUGUGAUGGGGAUUCUGCACCCAGCAGAAUUCUGGCUCAGUCUCCAGGGUCUCUCAGUGGUUUGGGGCUAUUCUGUGAACUGCAAUAUGUACACGGAUGGGCAUUUCUUCUUGCAAAGUUUGGGAAGCUCAGGCAUUGUCCCUCGCCUGUUAUAAAGCCAAAUUGAGGGGCUUUGAGCUUGCUGGUGAAGAUGCUGGUUGAGAGAUGAACAACUUUGUUCUUAAAUUUACUGGAUUGUUUCCUUUCUCUGCUUCAAGCUACUGAGUAAUUACAUCCUUUGAAAAAUGUUUCAUUUAUCUAGUUCUUUGGACCCAGUGCACUGUCUGUCAGUGAAAAACUGUUUUAUUUGUAUUAAAUUGCAUUGACAAACGUCCCUUUUCUUGUGUGGAGGUGAGGUUUGUGCACGUGCUUGUGUUUUCAUUUCGUAUAUAAGCUCUCAUGUCAUCCUGACAAGAGUGAGUGGGCACCAUCCUCCCUGCUUCUGCUGUUUCAAGCCUUGGAAUGGACUACUUUGUGCAAGUUUUGGUUCCCACAUCCUCAGCUCUUCAAACUGUGAGGUGGAAAGUAAGUACUGGUGUUUUGGAGAGAGCUGGCUGACCAAACGGCCCACUGUUUUUUUCCUUUUAUUACCAGUUGCUAAGAAAUGUGUGAAGGAAGCUGUCAAGCACACUUUUAUGGGAUUACUUUCCAUAUAAACGGCUGCCAGGAUCACCGAAGUGUGGCCUCAGAGGAGAGAAGUAGCAGCUCCCAAGGUCAAGAACAGCAGGGAGGUGUCCCAAGCAGGGACUGGCAGUGACUUCCAAAUAGACAGGGAGACACUCCUGACGUGGCUUCCCUGGGCAUGGUCUGUGCCAGGACACAUUAUGGAGAGUUUUUCUUGCCUUAGAAGGGACUGUUUUGGCUGCUCUAUUUGCUUCUCCUUGGACUUGGGAAGUCCCAUGUUUUGCAAUCCCAGCACACAGUGGAAAUGAGGAGUCUGGAUAAGUGAUGGAGCUCACAGUGCCUGAGAGCAGAGCUUUCAUCCAUCUGAAACUUUGGUAGUUUCCAUGUCCAAAAUAUUGUGAUUUUUUCCAUUGCUUUUCGUUUUUCUGCAGUCUCUCAUCCAUGGGCAAGCACUGUGGCACCAGGCUUCAGCUUUCAACAGCAGCAUCACUAGUUUAUUAGCUUAUGGCCUUAGGCAAACCUGAAAUCAUUAACAGCCUAUUUGUUGGGCUAAUGACUCUUUUUUACUAGAUGUAUAAUUUAAUAUAUGGUUACUUUCAUGCCUAAUUAUGCUCUUCAAAGCUUCUUUUGAAGGAACUUAUUUUUCUGCAUGCGUGUAUUGAGAGGGUUGGGAGCUGGCUGGCUUUUCUUGCAUGCUGCCCUGUGUUAAAAUCUAGAUAGUUUAUGUAAGAAGAUUUUAAUUUAGAUACGGGAAUUUCCCCUGUUGCUUGUUCUUUCAAUAUUUUUAUCUUUGAGUGCUUGAAAAAUAAAUAGUGGUGAAUUACCAACAGGUUUUAAAUGGCAGCAUUUCAUGUCCUAUUGUAGCUUGGUACAUUGUUUUGGACAAGACGUAAACCCAAAGUCCUGAUCAAUAGGGCCAUUGUGGCAGCAGCUUCCAAAUGAAUGCGAGUCUUGAUCUCAGUGUCCUGGCCCUGUUCCAGCCUGGUUCACAUUUUACUCAACAGCAAGUCCCACUUCUGUUCCCGUUAACCUCAGUGGGAACAGAGGCAGACCACUGUAAAGUGCUGCUAAUCCCACGUGCCAUUUGCAUGCAGCACUUGUAAAGCACUCUGGGAUCAGUUUGGAUGAAAAAGGCUAUGCAUGUAAGAUGUUUUUCAUUGGCAUCCCAAAUCCGGUGCCAUAUCAGUGAAAGAAGGUUAUGACUUUGUCUAUUGGGAUAAUUUUUUUCUUU